AGUUCUGGCGACCUGGGCUCAGAGAUGUGUUUUUCCGCGAGGUCGUCGCAGCGCGGGCGGGGAAGUACCGCACGCAGUCCUGUAACCAGCCGUUCCAGUUAAAUAAAGUAGCGAGGUGUGAGCGCUCCUGCCUCCGCAGCCUUCAAUACCCCCACCGGCUUACAGACGGGCUCACAGCCCCAGGAAGGGAGAGAUCAGGGGCCCAGGUGGUGUGCUGUGCACUUGGGACUCACAGUGAAAGGCUUUGAGCUCAGCCAACAGAAAUUAAACCACAACGCUUUCCAAUGCAGAUGAGAACCUCAAGAAUGAAAUCACACCAGUGGUGAACUACACUGAGGAAAAACACCUUCUGGCAACUUUGCACAUGACAUUUGUCACUGUGCACAGGCUUGUCAUGCAUAAAUCACCUGCAACAACAAAGAGGAUUAUGGAUGAGUCGGUGGCCAUCGCACGGGACCUUUUUGUGCUUCGGAGUUUCAAUCAGGUACCAUUACAAUGAUCAUCGUCACAGGAGAGGUAAGAAGGGAAGUGGGGAGGACUGCAAACCUGGAGAGACCUGCUAAAAAUCACGAAUACAAAGGAAGGUCAUUGGCUUCUGGGCUCAGUUCUACUUGAAGAGGAACGUGUAACAUCUACAUCAACAACAUUCUUAGUUUUUAUUUCGACAGAAUGAGCUGGACACCAUGUUUUGUCUUUUCUAAAAAUUCAGACUAUUUUACUUCUAGGAAUCUGAUAUUCACAUAGCAGCGCAUAAAAUACGUAGACAAGGAAAUUCACUGCAGCAUCCUUUGAAAAUUAGUUUGCACUUUGAUCACUGUAAUGCAGGUGGCCAAGGGAUAGCGCAGUGCCCUGGCUGAGAACAGGAACACUGAAGGCUCCUGCCUCUUGGUGACCGGAGGAUUAAAGAACAUAUGCACAAAGUAUCCGAGUGAGCAGCACUGUGUGAAUGUUCCUGCUAUCCUUUUAAAAGUUAAAACAGUGCAACAAGGACUUUAAAGACCGCCAACUGUCUCUUGCCACGCCCCUCCCCUCCCCUCGCCCCGCAUCCCCUCCUCCUGCAAGCACUCCCUACUCAGCUGUUUCUCCCGCUAGUUACCACCAUAACUUUGAAUAUUAUUCUUCUGCUGUUAUUUUUUGUUAACCUUUUUUUGGUGGCAUUAAGCACACCCACAAUGUGGUGCAACGGUCACCACCAUUCAUUUCCAGGAGUUUCUUACCUUAAAGAAGUUUCUUACCUUACCUCGUCUUACCCAAAGACGAUUCUGUACCCAUUAAACAGUAACUCUCCACUUGCCUCUCUGCUCCCAGCCUCUAGUAACCUUGACCCUAUUUUCCGUGUCUGUGAAUUUGUCUCCUCUAGGUAACUCCUAUCGGUGGAAUCACGAUAUUCGUUGUUCUGUGACUGGCUUAUGUCACUCAGCAUCAUGUCUUCAAGGUUUUCCCACGUAGCAGGUGUCGGAGUGUCUUUCCAUUUUAAAGGCUAAAUAAUAUUCCACUGCCUGGAAAUGCCACACGUGGCUCAUUGGUCCAUCUCUCUGUGGACAGUUGGAUUGUUUCCGCUUUGGGCUCCUGUGAGCCAUGUUGGCAUGAAUACUAAUGUAUAAAUACCAGUCUGCACCUCUGUGUUUCAUUAUUUGGGGCAGCUGUUUCUUGAUGUACCCAUUUUUUUACAUUUGAUUUCCAGAUGGUAAAUCAGACAGGUGAGAACAUACCUUUCCAUACACACAGUCCCCAUCUUCACUCCCAUGUAGUGUCUUGGUUUUGUUUUGUUUUGCUUCAAUUUUGUUUUAAGCA